GACGAACGCUGGCGGCGUGCCUAAUACAUGCAAGUAGAACGGCGUUUCGAACGGGUGAGUAACGCGUAGGUAACUUCCUCAUAGCGGGGGGUAACUAUCGGAAACGGUAGCUAAUACCGCCUAGUUGUAGAUGGACCUGCGUUGUAUUCGGUAGUUGGUGAGGUAAAGGCUCAACACGGCGACGAUCCAUAGCCGACCUGAGAGGGUGAUCGGGCACACGGGGACUGGGGAACGGCCCAGACUCCGACGGGAGGCAGCAAUAGGGAAUCUUCGGAAAUGGGGGGAAGGCUGACCGAGCAACGCCGCGGGAGUGAAGAAGGUUUUCGGAUCGGAAAGCUCUGUUGUGAGAGAAGCGGUAACUAACCAGAAAGGGACGGCUAACUACGUGCCAGCAGCCGCGGUAAUAC
rnacentral:rRNA from 1 species